ACCUACUGUUUAAUUUUGAGGGUUCGUUUUUACGAAUACUCAAAAUUAGCACUUUAAGCAACGGAAUUUAUUCGUUGGCGCUGUGCGUUAGCACUUUGAAAACUGCAUAUAUAUUUAGUGAUAUGACAUCUAAUUUGUAAUAUAUAAAGCUGAUAACUUUUAAAAUUAUCGAAGUUGAUAGCUUCUAAUCUAUCAAACCUUUUUAACUGGUCAA
rnacentral:misc_RNA from 1 species